GUAGGGUGCGAGCGUUAAUCGGAAUUACUGGGCGUAAAGCGUGCGCAGGCGGUUCGCCAAGUCAGGUGUGAAAUCCCCGGGCUUAACCUGGGAAUUGCGCUUGAAACUAGCGAGCUUGAGUGUGGCAGAGGGGGGUGGAAUUCCACGUGUAGCAGUGAAAUGCGUAGAGAUGUGGAGGAACACCGAUGGCGAAGGCAGCCCCCUGGGUCGCCACUGACGCUCAUGCACGAAAGCGUGGGGAGCAAACAGGAUUAGAUACCCUGGUAGUCCACGCCCUAAACGAUGUCGACUAGGUGUUGGGGAAGGAGACUUCCUUAGUCCCGCAGCUAACGCGUGAAGUCGACCGCCUGGGGAGUACGGUCGCAAGAUUA
rnacentral:rRNA from 1 species